CCUACGGGUGGCAGCAGUGGGGGAUAUUGCACAAUGGGGGGAACCCUGAUGCAGCGACGCCGCGUGGGUGAAGGAGCGUUUCGGCGCGUAAAGCCCUAUCGGCAGGGGAGAAGAUGACGGUACCUGGCCAAGAAGCCCCGGCUAACUACGUUCCAGCAGCCGCGGGAAUACGUGGGGGGCAAGCGUUAUCCGGAUUUACUGGGUGUAAAGGGGGCGCAGACGGCAAUGCAAGCCAGGAGUGAAAGCCCGGGGCCCAAGCCCGGGACUGCUCUUGGAACUGGAUGGCUGGAGUACAGGAGGGGCAGGCGGAAUUCCUAGUGUAGCGGUGAAACGCGUAGAUAUUAGGAGGAACACCGGUGGCGAAGGCGGCCUGCUGGACUGUGACUGACGUUGAGGCCCGAAGGCGUGGGGAGCAAACAGGAUUAGAUACCCUUGUAGUC
rnacentral:rRNA from 1 species